CACUCAGCAAACGCGUCAUCACGGUAAGCCAGGGAAACGUCCAUGGAGACUUCUGCAUUUUCUCUGAUUUGGUUGUUUAGCUUGAAGGCAAUGUCCAGCUGCAGGAUAAACAGCAUGAAUUGGAACCAAGGACUCAUCUCCAUGUGGGGGAGGGGAAUGUGAACAGAAAACACGAUGUCAUUGGCUUCAAUUUCCCUUGGAAUUGCCUCUUCAAUGUCUCGGAUCUUGUCACAAUGAUUGGGUCCCCAAGGCACGAACCAUUUUGUCUUGUGAUGGUUCUUACGGGCAUCCACACAUUUCACCGACAUGUAGGACACUGCCGUUGUGGGCCCUGGAGCUGAAAAGAGAAAGUUUGUCUGUUUUAGAAAAGCC
rnacentral:lncRNA from 1 species